rnacentral:rRNA from 1 species
CCUACGGGAGGCAGCAGUGAGGAAUAUUGGACAAUGGGCGCAAGCCUGAUCCAGCCAUGCCGCGUGCAGGAAGACGCAUCUAUGGUGUGUAAACUGCUUUUGUACGGGAAGAAACACUCCCUCGUGAGGGAGCUUGACGGUACCGUAAGAAUAAGGAUCGGCUAACUCCGUGCCAGCAGCCGCGGUAAUACGGAGGAUCCAAGCGUUAUCCGGAAUCAUUGGGUUUAAAGGGUCCGUAGGCGGUUUAAUAAGUCAGUGGUGAAAGCCCAUCGCUCAACGAUGGAACGGCCAUUGAUACUGUUAGACUUGAAUUACUAGGAAGUAACUAGAAUAUGUAGUGUAGCGGUGAAAUGCUUAGAUAUUACAUGGAAUACCAAUUGCGAAGGCAGGUUACUACUAGUGGAUUGACGCUGAUGGACGAAAGCGUGGGGAGCGAACAGGAUUAGAUACCCUGGUAGUCCACGCCGUAAACGAUGGAUACUAGCUGUUGGGCGCAAGUUCAGUGGCUAAGCGAAAGUGAUAAGUAUCCCACCUGGGGAGUACGUUCGCAAGAAUGAAACUCAAAUGAAUUGACGG